rnacentral:lncRNA from 1 species
GCCGGCCUCUGUGCAUGGCCAGGGCAGCCUGGCUGGGAGCUGGGAAGGGGCAGAACCCCUUCGAGCUGGCCUUCUCCCUAGACCAGCCCGACCACGGAGACUCUGACUUUGGCCUGCAGUGCUCAGCCCGCCCUGACACGCCCGCCAGCCAGCCCAUUGACAUCCCGGACGCCAAGAAGCGGGGCAAGAAGAAGAAGCGCGGCCGGGCCACCGACAGCUUCUCGGGCAGGUUUGAAGACGUCUACCAGCUGCAGGAAGAUGUGCUGGGGGAGGGCGCUCAUGCCCGAGUGCAGACCUGCAUCAACCUGAUCACCAGCCAGGAGUACGCCGUCAAGGUGGGCCCGCG